GGUCAGCCAUGCGCGCAGCCUGAUGCAGCGACGCCGCGUGAGUGAUGACGGCCUUUCGGGUUGUAACGCUCUUUCAGCCGGGGACGAUGCUGACGUUACCCUCCCUGGAGGCGCCGGCCCGGUCCUUGCAUCAGCCCCGGUGCGAUAUUGUGUGCGGGGGUUGUUUUGUCUCACUGGGCGUAACGUGCUCGUAGGCUAUGCGGCUUGUCGGGUGUGAAGUGCCCGGGCUCAGCUCCCGUUUGGCCUUCGAGUCUGUCCGGCUUGAGUUCGGUAGAGGAGGGUGGAAUUGCCUUUGGUGGGGUGGAAUGGCUUUUCUUUUUGGUGGAAACCCCUGCGCCAAGGGCGGGUUGUUGGCCGGUUCUUGACCUUAAGCCCCGAACCCUUGGGUAGCAAACGGGAU
rnacentral:rRNA from 1 species